CAGCGCGUGGCUCAGUCUGGUAGAGUACCAUGUCGGGAACGUGGGGGUCGCAGGUUCAAAUCCUGUCGCGCUGACCA
rnacentral:tRNA from 1 species